CCUACGGGAGGCAGCAGUGGGGAAUCUUGCGCAAUGGGCGAAAGCCUGACGCAGCCAUGCCGCGUGAAUGAUGAAGGUCUUAGGAUUGUAAAAUUCUUUCACCGGGGACGAUAAUGACGGUACCCGGAGAAGAAGCCCCGGCUAACUUCGUGCCAGCAGCCGCGGUAAUACGAAGGGGGCUAGCGUUGCUCGGAAUUACUGGGCGUAAAGGGAGCGUAGGCGGAUAGUUUAGUCAGAGGUGAAAGCCCAGGGCUCAACCUUGGAAUUGCCUUUGAUACUGGCUAUCUUGAGUGUGGGAGAGGUAUGUGGAACUCCGAGUGUAGAGGUGAAAUUCGUAGAUAUUCGGAAGAACACCAGUGGCGAAGGCGACAUACUGGCCCAUUACUGACGCUGAGGCUCGAAAGCGUGGGGAGCAAACAGGAUUAGAUACCCUGGUAGUCCACGCUGUAAACGAUGAGUGCUAGUUGUCGGCAGGCAUGCCUGUCGGUGACGCAGCUACGCAUAGCACUCCGCCGUCGGGAGGUACGGUCGCGAGAUAAACUACAAAGAAGUAGACGGCGNGAGACGUGCCGAACGGACGACGACGAGGGAGGUAGG
rnacentral:rRNA from 1 species